GGAAAUUUAGUUUAAAAAAAACAUUAAUUUGUCAAAUUAAAAAUAUUAUAAUAAUAUUUUCCU
rnacentral:tRNA from 1 species